CCCCUAGAUGUUCUGGGCCGCACGCGCGCUACACUGAACAGUUCAACAAGUCUUAACCUUGGCCGAUAGGUCUGGGUAAUCUUUGAACGCUGUUCGUGAUUGGGAUAGAUUAUUGCAAUUAUUAAUCUUCAACGAGGAAUGCCUAGUAAGCGCAAGUCAUCAGCUUGCGUUGAUUACGUCCCUGCCCUUUGUACACACCGCCCGUCGCUCCUACCGAUUGAAUGGUCCGGUGAAGCGCUCGGACCGCGGCCUCUUGACGGUUUUCCGUCGAUUGGCUGUGGGAAGUUCGUUAAACCUUAUCAUUUAGAGGAAGGAGAAGUCGUAACA
rnacentral:rRNA from 1 species